rnacentral:rRNA from 1 species
CCCUUAGAUGUUCUGGGCCGCACGCGCGCUACACUGACGAUGGCAACGAGUUUUUCCUUCGCCGAAAGGUGUGGGUAAUCUUUUGAAACAUCGUCGUGCUGGGGAUAGAUCAUUGCAAUUUUUGAUCUUGAACGAGGAAUUCCUAGUAAGCGCGAGUCAUCAGCUCGCGUUGAUUACGUCCCUGCCCUUUGUACACACCGCCCGUCGCUACUACCGAUUGAAUGGUUUAGUGAGGACUCCUGAUUGGCGCCGCCGCCCCAGCAACGGAGCAGCGGACUGCCGAAAAGUUGUUCAAACUUGAUCAUUUAGAGGAAGUAAAAGUCGUAACA